rnacentral:rRNA from 1 species
UACAGAGACUGCAAGCGUUAUUCGGAUUCACUGGGCGUAAAGGGUGCGCAGGCGGCCAAGUGUGUGAGGCGUGAAAGCCCGGGGCUUAACCCCGGAAUUGCACCUCAAAACUACAUGGCUAGAGCAUUGGAGAGGGUAGCGGAAUUCACGGUGUAGCAGUGAAAUGCGUAGAUAUCGUGAGGAACACCAGAGGCGAAGGCGGCUACCUGGACAAUUGCUGACGCUCAGGCACGAAAGCGUGGGGAGCAAAAGGG